UGGGCAAAUCACAAGAGGCCUCUCUACUA
rnacentral:piRNA from 1 species